GGAUAGAGUCGGCGUGAUCAUUCAAUUAUUCAGUUACAUUAUUGUUUAUGUUGUGACCUCUGAGCUCCAGAUUGGGACAGAGGGAAUCAGCAUAAUUUUUUGUGGUGCAUUUACUUGAUUGGUGCUUGGGGAUGUUUGAGGCAGAUUUGUUUCCGUCGUUUUGAGGCCAGCUUGCUGGUACCCAAACGGUGUUAGCAUUUUUUGUCUUGGGCAUUUGAGUAUGGCUCACGUGUAUUUAUUGGACAGAUCUGAGUGUAAGUUACGGUCGCAUGCGACACGUGCUUUUCAAUUAGUUCGGUCCAGUUAAUGCUCUCGUACUCGUUCCCCAUGUAAAAGCCGGUCAUCUAUCCGACCCGUCUUGAAACACGGACCAAGGAGUUUAUCGUGUGCGCAAGUUUUUGGGUGUUAAAAACUUAAAAGCGAAAUGAAAGUAAAUGACUCUUUAGAGUCUGAUGUGCGAUCUUGUAAAAAAGUGUAGCAUGGCCCCAUUCUAACUGUUUACAGUAGGGUGGCGGAAGAGCGUACGCGGUGAGACCCGAAAGAUGGUGAACUAUUCCUGAGCAGGACGAAGCCAGAGGAAACUCUGGUGGAAGUCCGAAGCGGUUCUGACGUGCAAAUCGAUCGUCUGACUUGGGUAUAGGGGCGAAAGACUAAUCGAACCAUC
rnacentral:rRNA from 1 species